UGGGGAAUAUUGGACAAUGGGCGAAAGCCUGAUCCAGCCAUGCCGCGUGUGUGAAGAAGGUCUUCGGAUUGUAAAGCACUUUAGGUUGGGAGGAAGGGCAGUUACCUAAUACGUGAUUGUUUUGACGUUACCGACAGAAUAAGCACCGGCUAACUCUGUGCCAGCAGCCGCGGUAAUACAGAGGGUGCAAGCGUUAAUCGGAAUUACUGGGCGUAAAGCGCGCGUAGGUGGUUAGUUAAGUUGGAUGUGAAAUCCCCGGGCUCAACCUGGGAACUGCAUUCAAAACUGACUGACUAGAGUAUGGUAGAGGGUGGUGGAAUUUCCUGUGUAGCGGUGAAAUGCGUAGAUAUAGGAAGGAACACCAGUGGCGAAGGCGACCACCUGGACUGAUACUGACACUGAGGUGCGAAAGCGUGGGGAGCAAACAGGAUUAGAUACCCCAGUAGUCCCUGAGCGGGCUGGCAAGGCGCAU
rnacentral:rRNA from 1 species